GAUGAACGCUGGCGGCGUGCCUAAUACAUGCAAGUCGAGCGAACAGAUGAGGAGCUUGCUCCUCUGACGUUAGCGGCGGACGGGUGAGUAACACGUGGAUAACCUACCUAUAAGACUGGGAUAACUUCGGGAAACCGGAGCUAAUACCGGAUAAUGUAUUGAACCGCAUGGUUCAAUAGUGAAAGACGGUUUUGCUGUCACUUAUAGAUGGAUCCGCGCCGCAUUAGCUAGUUGGUAAGGUAACGGCUUACCAAGGCAACGAUGCGUAGCCGACCUGAGAGGGUGAUCGGCCACACUGGAACUGAGACACGGUCCAGACUCCUACGGGAGGCAGCAGUAGGGAAUCUUCCGCAAUGGGCGAAAGCUUGACGGAGCAACGCCGCGUGAGUGAUGAAGGUCUUCGGAUCGUAAAACUCUGUUUUUAGGGAAGAACAAAUGUGUAAGUAACUAUGCACGUCUUGACGGUACCUAAUCAGAAAGCCACGGCUAACUACGUG
rnacentral:rRNA from 1 species